GACCGAACCGACUAAUGUUGAAAAAUUAGCGGAUGACCUGUGGCUGGGGGUGAAAGGCCAAUCAAACCGGGAGAUAGCUGGUUCUCCCCGAAAGCUAUUUAGGUAGCGCCUCGUGAAUUCAUCUCCGGGGGUAGAGCACUGUUUCGGCUAGGGGGCCAUCCCGGCUUACCAACCCGAUGCAAACUGCGAAUACCGGAGAAUGUUAUCACGGGAGACACACGGCGGGUGCUAACGUCCGUCGUGAAGAGGGAAACAACCCAGACCGCCAGCUAAGGUCCCAAAGUCAUGGUUAAGUGGGAAACGAUGUGGGAAGGCCCAGACAGCCAGGAUGUUGGCUUAGAAGCAGCCAUCAUUUAAAGAAAGCGUAAUAGCUCACUGGUCGAGUCGGCCUGCGCGGAAGAUGUAACGGGGCUAAACCAUGCACCGAAGCUGCGGCAGCGACACUAUGUGUUGUUGGGUAGGGGAGCGUUCUGUAAGCCUGUGAAGGUGGCCUGUGAGGGUUGCUGGAGGUAUCAGAAGUGCGAAUGCUGACAUAAGUAACGAUAAAGCGGGUGAAAAGCCCGCUCGCCGGAAGACCAAGGGUUCCUGUCCAACGUUAAUCGGGGCAGGGUGAGUCGACCCCUAAGGCGAGGCCGAAAGGCGUAGUCGAUGGGAAACGGGUUAAUAUUCCCGUACUUGGUGUUACUGCGAAGGGGGGACGGAGAAGGCUAUGUUGGCCGGGCGACGGUUGUCCCGGUUUAAGCGUGUAGGUGUGUGUUCCAGGUAAAUCCGGUUCACUUUAACACUGAGGCGUGAUGACGAGGCACUACGGUGCUGAAGCAACAAAUGCCCUGCUUCCAGGAAAAGCCUCUAAGCAUCAGGUAACAUCAAAUCGUACCCCAAACCGACACAGGUGGUCAGGUAGAGAAUACCAAGGCGCUUGAGAGAACUCGGGUGAAGGAACUAGGCAAAAUGGUGCCGUAACUUCGGGAGAAGGCACGCUGACAUGUAGGUGAAGUGAUUUACUCAUGGAGCUGAAGUCAGUCGAAGAUACCAGCUGGCUGCAACUGUUUAUUAAAAACACAGCACUGUGCAAACACGAAAGUGGACGUAUACGGUGUGACGCCUGCCCGGUGCCGGAAGGUUAAUUGAUGGGGUCAGCGCAAGCGAAGCUCCUGAUCGAAGCCCCGGUAAACGGCGGCCGUAACUAUAACGGUCCUAAGGUAGCGAAAUUCCUUGUCGGGUAAGUUCCGACCUGCACGAAUGGCGUAAUGAUGGCCAGGCUGUCUCCACCCGAGACUCAGUGAAAUUGAACUCGCUGUGAAGAUGCAGUGUACCCGCGGCAAGACGGAAAGACCCCGUGAACCUUUACUAUAGCUUGACACUGAACAUUGAGCCUUGAUGUGUAGGAUAGGUGGGAGGCUUUGAAGUGUGGACGCCAGUCUGCAUGGAGCCGACCUUGAAAUACCACCCUUUAAUGUUUGAUGUUCUAACGUGGACCCGUAAUCCGGGUUGCGGACAGUGUCUGGUGGGUAGUUUGACUGGGGCGGUCUCCUCCUAAAGAGUAACGGAGGAGCACGAAGGUUGGCUAAUCCUGGUCGGACAUCAGGAGGUUAGUGCAAUGGCAUAAGCCAGCUUGACUGCGAGCGUGACGGCGCGAGCAGGUGCGAAAGCAGGUCAUAGUGAUCCGGUGGUUCUGAAUGGAAGGGCCAUCGCUCAACGGAUAAAAGGUACUCCGGGGAUAACAGGCUGAUACCGCCCAAGAGUUCAUAUCGACGGCGGUGUUUGGCACCUCGAUGUCGGCUCAUCACAUCCUGGGGCUGAAGUAGGUCCCAAGGGUAUGGCUGUUCGCCAUUUAAAGUGGUACGCGAGCUGGGUUUAGAACGUCGUGAGACAGUUCGGUCCCUAUCUGCCGUGGGCGCUGGAGAACUGAGGGGGGCUGCUCCUAGUACGAGAGGACCGGAGUGGACGCAUCACUGGUGUUCGGGUUGUCAUGCCAAUGGCACUGCCCGGUAGCUAAAUGCGGAAGAGAUAAGUGCUGAAAGCAUCUAAGCACGAAACUUGCCCCGA
rnacentral:rRNA from 1 species